rnacentral:lncRNA from 1 species
GAUUUUCUGAAAGACUGCUAUGGAGUCUGAGAAAAAAUGUCAAAGUUGAGGACAUGAAGAGGAAAGAACUGACAGAGGAGUUGAAGAAAGGUGAUCAGGAAGAGCCAUCAAAGUGUUAUCCUGGAAUUCAAGUGAAGACAGUGUUUCAAAGGAAAAUGAACAGUGUCCUGUAACCCUCAGAGUGAGACUAGAGUCAGAAUGCAAGCUUUUCUCAUUUGAAAUCUAAACAAGUGAGAAAUAACAUGGGGACUUAGAACCACCUGAUUACUCUUCUGAUGGAAGGCUACCAAGAUGAAUUCAGAGAAUCAAAGGCAAAGAGGAUAAUUGCACUUCAGAAAGAGUAGGAAUGAAGGUGGCUAUGGGGACCUAAACUGAAAGAGUGAUUAGAGUUUUAGAAGAACUAAGAAAAGAAGAACAAGAAGUUUACAGGAACUAAGCUUUGAAAAGUAUGCCACAGAGAGGAUCCAGAGAACCCAUCUCCAGUCAGUUAUCUGUAUUUGCAUGUCAACUACAGCAUCAAGAAGCAUAGGCAUGGAUACUAAGGACCCCCUCUGUACACCAAGGCCAGUCCAAAGGACAGUGUGUCACUGUGGACUGGAAAUUCAUCUCUCUUCAUUUUUUUUCUACCUACUUUAUGCUUUAUCUCUAAGUUGAGGCUGUUUAUGGCCUCAUCCUCAAUUACCUUGUCCCUCAUUACUCCCAGUUAAUGGAGAUUAAGCUUUGUAUCAU